CCUGUCAGUGAGUGGCAGGGGGUGGCAGUGCCUGUCACAUCUCUGCUUUUGGAAAAGAUCAGAACCCUGAUGGCACAGCCAUACUGCAGUUUCCAUAGCAGACCUCAGACAAGAUGUUCCCCAGGAGAGUUUUUUGAUAUCACCAUUUUUCAGAGAAUGGAACUCCAUUCUAUUGGAGAUCCCAUCCCAGGCAGUCUAGAAGUGAUUAUGGAGUAGCAGCGCAGCAGCAGCAUUAUUGCUGUGGGGAGUGCUGAUGAUCUUGGUUGCACUCAUUUCCCCAUGGGAAGACUUGCCUGCUUCUGAGUGCAGCCUUAAUUACAAAGCUGGCAUUACUUCCUACUAGUGAUGAAUAAAAAAAUUUCUUGUGGCUGAGAAACUCUACAUUGGUGGACCUUCUGUCACAAUUGUCAAACACAAGGAGAGAAAAUGAGUUAUUUGCAGAAUCACAGAAUGGGUAAUGCAAUGACGCCAUUAUUUUAGUGAUCAAGGAUGUUCUACCUGAUGAAGAUAAUCCAGACAACAUUAUUUCUUUUAUAAACUCCGUGUCUUUCUCUUUUAAAUGUUCCAUUUUCACCUACUAUGAAGAGACAACAAGAGCAUUUAUCCAACCCUGAAGAUGAAGCCACAGGCAGAACAACCAAUUUUCCAAUUUUCUGUUCUCAUGUGGUCAGUAUUCUGGCUUCAGUUUU